rnacentral:snRNA from 1 species
CACAAAAAAUAAUACAUUUAAAA